rnacentral:rRNA from 1 species
GAUGAACGCUAGCGGGAGGCUUAACACAUGCAAGCCGAGGGGUAUAGUUCUUUCGGGAACUAGAGACCGGCGCACGGGUGCGUAACGCGUAUGCAACUUGCCCUACUGAAAAGGAUAGCCCUUCGAAAGGAGGAUUAAUACUUUAUAACAGAUUUAAUGGCAUCUUUAGAUUUUGAAAGAUUUAUCGCAGUAGGAUAGGCAUGCGUAAGAUUAGUUAGUUGGUGAGGUAACGGCUCACCAAGACGAUGAUCUUUAGGGGGCCUGAGAGGGUGACCCCCCACAGUGGGACGGAGACACGGACCAGACUCAUACGGGAGGCAGCAGUGAGGAAUAUUGAACAGUGGGUGGAAGCCUGAUCCAGCCAUCCCGCGUGUAGGAUGACGGCCUUAGGGGUUGUAAACUACUUUUAGCUGAGGAUAAACCUACUUACGAGUAAGUAGCUGAAGGUACCAGAAGAAUAAGCACCGGCUAACUACGUG